GUGGGGAAUAUUGGGCAAUGGGCGAAAGCCUGACCCAGCAACGCCGCGUGAAGGAAGAAGGUUUUCGGAUCGUAAACUUCUAUCCUUGGUGAAGAUAAUGACGGUAGCCAAGAAGGAAGCCCCGGCUAACUACGUGCCAGCAGCCGCGGUAAUACGUAGGGGUCAAGCGUUGUCCGGAAUGAUUGGGCGUAAAGGGCGCGUAGGCGGCCCGGUAAGUCUGAAGUGAAAGUCCUGCUUUUAAGGUGGGAAUUGCUUUGGAUACUGUCGGGCUUGAGCGCAGGAGAGGUAAGCGGAAUUCCCGGUGUAGCGGUGAAAUGCGUAGAGAUCGGGAGGAACACCAGUGGCGAAGGCGGCUCACUGGCUCGAUACUGACGCUGAGGUGCGAAAGCGUGGGGAGCAAACAGGAUUAGAUACCCGGGUAGUCC
rnacentral:rRNA from 1 species